rnacentral:rRNA from 1 species
UCGGGAAUUUUGCUCAAUGGGCGCAAGCCUGAAGCAGCAACGCCGCGUGCGGGAUGAAGGCCUUCGGGUUGUAAACCGCUUUUCUUCGGGACGAUUAUGACGGUACCUAAGGAAUAAGCCACGGCUAACUACGUGCCAGCAGCCGCGGUAAUACGUAGGUGGCAAGCGUUGUCCGGAUUUACUGGGCGUAAAGAGCGCGCAGGCGGUCGAGUAAGUCGAAUGUGAAAGCCCCCGGCUUAACUGGGGAGGGUCAUUCGAUACUGUUCGACUUGAAGGCAGGAGAGGGCAGCAGAAUUCCCGGUGUAGUGGUGAAAUGCGUAGAUAUCGGGAGGAAUACCAGUGGCGAAGGCGGCUGCCUGGCCUGUUCUUGACGCUGAGGCGCGAAAGCGUGGGGGGGCAAACGGGAUUAGAUACCCCGGUAGUCCCAGCCGUAAACGAUGGACACUAGGUGUUGGUGGUAUCAACCCCGCCAGUGCCGUAGCUAACGCAUUAAGUGUCCCGCCUGGGGAGUACGGCCGCAACGG